rnacentral:rRNA from 1 species
CAAUAGCGUAUAUUAAAGUUGUUGCAGUUAAAAAGCUCGUAGUUGGAUUUCUGGGCUGGCCGGACGGUCCACCUCACGGUGAGAACUGGCUGGUCGGCCCUUCCUCUCGAAGUCUGGCGGUGUCCUUAACUGGGUGCUGUUGGAAUUCGGGACCUUUACUUUGAAAAAUUAGAGUGUUCAAAGCAGGCCUUCGCUUGAAUACAUUAGCAUGGAAUAAUGGAAUAGGACUUUGGUUCUAUUUUGUUGGUUUCUAGAACUAAAGUAAUGAUUAAUAGGGAUAAUUGGGGGCAUUUGUAUUCACGCGUCAGAGGUGGAAUUCUUGGAUUGCGUUACGACAAACUACUGCGAAAGCAUUUGCCAAGGAUGUUUUCAUUGAUCAAGAACGAAAGUAUGGGAUCGAAGACGAUCAGAUACCA